AGCAGCCGCGGUAAUUCCAGCUCCAAUAGCGUAUAUUAAAGUUGUUGCAGUUAAAAAGCUCGUAGUUGAAUUUCGGGGUUAGCAGGUCGGUCGUGCCAUCGGUAUGAACUGGUCUCGCUGAUCCCUCCCUCUUGACGAACUGUGAUGCCAUUAAUUUGGUGUCGCAGGGAAUCAGGACUGUUACUUUGAAAAAUUGAGUGUUUAAAGCAGGCUCACGCUUGAAUACAUUAGCAUGGAAUAAUGAAAUAGGACGUUUGAUCCUAUUUUGUUGGCUUCUAGGAUUGACGUAAUGAUUAAUAGGGAUAGUUGGGGGCAUUAGUAUUCAAUUGUCAGAGGUGAAAUUCUUGGAUUUAUUGAAGACUAACUACUGCGAAAGCAUUUGCCAAGGAUGUUUUCAUUAAUCAAGAACGAAAGUUAGGGGAUCGAAGACGAUCAGAUACCGUCGUAGUCUUAACCAUAAACUAUGCCGACUAGGGAUCGGAUGAUGUUAAUUUUUAAUGUACUCU
rnacentral:misc_RNA from 1 species